GCGCGCCAACUACCUCAGUCUGCUCCAGGGCUAUGAAAGUUAAGCCACAUUAUUGGUCGAUUAAAAAUAAAGCUCUCAGCUACCGCAAGGGAGCGCAUUAGUAGUAAUUAGUAGGCAGCACAAAUUACACUGCUGUAUUCUUUGCCCGGCAUUUUGGUGUCGUAGCCUGUAAUACCGACAGCACGUUUUUCAAAUAAUUUUAAACAAAAGUCAAUUUAAACCGUUUAAUUCUGUGACCGUUUAAUAAUAACCAGCAUAGAAACAACGAGUUUUUAUCAUCGUUUCGUUGGUUUGUUAUUCUGUAGUUUUAAUCGUCAAAGAAAAUGGAACAAGGACCUAGGGCCUGUGCUAGGACCUCGGGGCAUGUUUGUUCGGUACCAGGGUGUACCAACAAGCAUGCACCCAUGUUCAGGUUUCCCAACCCUAAGAGAGGGUUGGACAUCUGUUUGAGAUGGAGGCAGGCCGUCAAUAAUCCAAAGUGGCCUGAAUUGUCGGACUAUCGUCUCAACAGAAUUGCGCGUGUUUGUUAUAAACAUUUUAUAGAUGACGAUUUCCUGUCCGGGACCAGACGUUUAACCCGUUUUGCUGUUCCUUCCCUCAACUUACCAACAGGUCGUCGGGACAGUACACCAAGUCCAAGACCGUUGGAGUUGGGGCAGUCAUCUCCAUCCGAGGUGUCACUUCAACCCAAGUUUGUUACUCCCACAAAAGAGUUUUUGGCUAGUUUUUUGGCUAGAAGCAGUGGGAGUGACACCCAGGAAGAGAGAGACACCUAUGAAAGGAGAUGUACCUGCAAAACGUGAGAUUUUCGUUGAAGAAAAAUAAAAUUUUAUUAUCGGCACGCUGAAUCAAUUCACGUAGGGACUCCGCUCCUCGUGAUUUAACAUUUUCGAUCCGCUUUUCGAUAAAAUAAAAUUUUAUUAUGUUCUAUAUAUAACUAUUUUUAAUAUUUUUUCAUUUGA